rnacentral:rRNA from 1 species
GUCCAUGCCGUAACGAUGUCUACUAGCCGUUGGCCUUUGAGGCUUAGUGGCGCAGCUAACGCGAUAAGUAGACCGCCUGGGAGUACGGCCGCAAGGUUAAACUCAAAUGAAUUGACGGGCCCGCACAAGCGGUGGAGCAUGUGGUUAAUUCGAUGCAACGCGAAGAACCUUACCUACUCUUGACAUCCAGAGAACUUAGCAGAGAUGCUUUGGUGCCUUCGGGAACUCUGAGACAGGUGCUGCAUGGCUGUCGU